rnacentral:lncRNA from 1 species
CCUUCAUUUAUUCACACUUGGAGUCUCUCUUGUCCUUUCAGGAGACCUCUACAGGUCCCAGGGAUUAGGUCUUGAAUAUCUCCAGGGCAUUUUCAGCUGACUACAGCCAGCAACCACAGGUCUGAAGGAGAGGCCUCAGGGGCUCAGAAACUAGAGGACCUGACAGCACCUGGGCAGCCACAGGGAGGUGGAGGGCCAUCUGACACCCCGC